GACGAACGCUGGCGGCGUGCUUAACACAUGCAAGUCGAACGGAAAGGCCCUGCUUUUGUGGGGUGCUCGAGUGGCGAACGGGUGAGUAACACGUGAGUAACCUGCCCUUGACUUUGGGAUAACUUCAGGAAACUGGGGCUAAUACCGGAUAGGAGCUCCUGCUGCAUGGUGGGGGUUGGAAAGUUUCGGCGGUUGGGGAUGGACUCGCGGCUUAUCAGCUUGUUGGUGGGGUAGUGGCUUACCAAGGCUUUGACGGGUAGCCGGCCUGAGAGGGUGACCGGCCACCUUGGGACUGAGAUACGGACCAGACUCCUACGGGAGGCAGCAGUGGGGAAUAUUGCACAAUGGGCGGAAGCCUGAUGCAGCAACGCCGCGUGCGGGAUGACGGCCUUCGGGUUGUAAACCGCUUUCGCCUGUGACGAAGCGUGAGUGACGGUAAUGGGUAAAGAAGCACCGGCUAACUACGUG
rnacentral:rRNA from 1 species